CCUACGGGUGGCAGCAGUGGGGAAUAUUGCACAAUGGGCGCAAGCCUGAUGCAGCCAUGCCGCGUGUGUGAAGAAGGCCUUCGGGUUGUAAAGCACUUUCAGCGGGGAGGAAGGCGGUGAGGUUAAUAACCUCAUCGAUUGACGUUACCCGCAGAAGAAGCACCGGCUAACUCCGUGCCAGCAGCCGCGGUAAUACGGAGGGUGCAAGCGUUAAUCGGAAUUACUGGGCGUAAAGCGCACGCAGGCGGUCUGUCAAGUCGGAUGUGAAAUCCCCGGGCUCAACCUGGGAACUGCAUUCGAAACUGGCAGGCUAGAGUCUUGUAGUGGGGGGUAGAAUUCCAGGUGUAGCGGUGAAAUGCGUAGAGAUCUGGAGGAAUACCGGUGGCGAAGGCGGCCCCCUGGACAAAGACUGACGCUCAGGUGCGAAAGCGUGGGGAGCAAACAGGAUUAGAUACCCCAGUAGUC
rnacentral:rRNA from 1 species